AGUGGAGCGAGCCGUCACUCCGGGCGGCCGGGCCCGCCCACUCCUCCCCGUCUCCGACUCUUCCUGCGCAGUUCUCCUCCGCAGCCUCCGCGAGGAAGUGCCGGGCUGCGCUCGGGCCAGUUCGCGGGGCAGCGCGGAGGCGGCCGUGCGCGCGGUCCCGAGGGGCCAGGCGCCGGAGCGCAGCGUUCCCCUGCCCAGAGAGGGGCGUCGCGCCGCAGGAGCGUCCUCAGGCCAGCGGUUGCNCGUUCCAGUUGCGGCUCCUCCUGGGCAACAUGUCAAACGCCGCGGCCGCUACAGCUGCCGCCGCCACCUGGAGAAGAGCAGCAGGAGCAGCAGCGGUGGCCCCGGGCGCACGGGUGCAAUAAACCCAACCACCUGGCGUCGCGAGGGCCGAGGAACCAUCUCCGCGCUCGCGGCUCCGGCGGGACCAGCGCCAUGUGCUGAGCCAUGCCCCUCGCCGCGCCCGCGGGCAGCGCAUGGGGCAGCGCCUGAGCGGCAGCCGACCCUGCCUCCAUGUCCCCAGCGGGCUUCGGCCGCAGCCGCAGGCGCCCCCGCCGCCGGUGAGGAGGAAGCUCGCGCUGCUCUUCGCCAUGCUUUGCAUCUGGCUCUACAUGUUCCUGUACUCGUGCGCCGACUCGUGCGGCGCCGCGCCCGGACUGCUGCUGCUGGGCUCGGGGUCCCGCGCCGACCACGACCCGCCAGCCCCGGCCGACGGUCCCGACGGGGCUUUCCCCAGGUUGCCCUUCCAGGCGGCACCAACCACCCCGUGGGCUGCGGGCGAGGAGAGGGCCGAGGGCGCCGCGAGCGAAGAGGAGCAGAAUCCCGAGGCGCCGGACUCCCCCAGCCCCAUCUCCACCUUCUUCAGUGGGUCCGGGAGCAAGCAGCUGCCGCAGGCCAUCAUCAUCGGCGUGAAGAAGGGCGGCACGCGGGCGCUGCUCGAGUUCCUGCGCGUGCACCCCGACGUGCGCGCCGUGGGCGCCGAGCCCCACUUCUUCGACCGCAGCUACGACAAGGGCCUCGCCUGGUACCGGUGAGUUU